AUUGAACGCUGGCGGCAUGCUUUACACAUGCAAGUCGAACGGUAACAGGGAGCUUGCUCCGCUGACGAGUGGCGAACGGGUGAGUAAUAUAUCGGAACGUACCCAGAAGUGGGGGAUAACGUAGCGAAAGUUACGCUAAUACCGCAUACGAUCCACGGAUGAAAGUAGGGGACCUUCGGGCCUUAUGCUUUUGGAGCGGCCGAUAUCUGAUUAGCUAGUUGGUGAGGUAAAGGCUCACCAAGGCGACGAUCAGUAGCUGGUCUGAGAGGACGACCAGCCACACUGGAACUGAGACACGGUCCAGACUCCUACGGGAGGCAGCAGUGGGGAAUUUUGGACAAUGGGCGCAAGCCUGAUCCAGCAACGCCGCGUGAGUGAAGAAGGCCUUCGGGUUGUAAAGCUCUUUUGUCAGGGAAGAAACGGGAGUGGCUAAUAUCCAUUCUUAAUGACGGUACCUGAAGAAUAAGCACCGGCUAACUACGUGCCAGCCGCCGCAGUAA
rnacentral:rRNA from 1 species